rnacentral:rRNA from 1 species
UCAGGCCUAACACAUGCAAGUCGUACGAGGUGUAAAUAAUUCACUUGUGAAUUGUUUAUUACUACAGUGGCGCACGGGUGAGUAACACGUAAGAACCUGCCUUUUGGAGGGGGAUAACAUAGGGAAACCUUUGCUAAUACCCCAUAAAGCUGAGGAGCUAAAUCGCAUUUGCGGCCAAGAGAGGGGCUUGCGCCUGAUUAGCUAGUUGGGGAGGUAAUGGCUUCCCAAGGCCACGAUCAGUAGUUGGUCUGAGAGGAUGAUCAGCCACACUGGGACUGAGACACGGCCCAGACUCCUACGGGAGGCAGCAGUGAGGAAUUUUCCGCAAUGGGCGAAAGCCUGACGGAGCAAUACCGCGUAAGGAAGAAGGAUCGUGGUCUGAAACUUCUUUUCUCAGAGAAGAAGAU